rnacentral:rRNA from 1 species
GACGAACGCUGGCGGCGUGCUUAACACAUGCAAGUCGAACGGAAAGGCCCUGCUUUUGUGGGGUGCUCGAGUGGCGAACGGGUGAGUAACACUUGAGUAACCUGCCCUUGACUUUGGGAUAACUUCAGGAAACUGGGGCUAAUACCGGAUAGGAGCUCCUGCUGCAUGGUGGGGGUUGGAAAGUUUCGGCGGUUGGGGAUGGACUCGCGGCUUAUCAGCUUGUUGGUGGGGUAGUGGCUUACCAAGGCUUUGACGGGUAGCCGGCCUGAGAGGGUGACCGGCCACAUUGGGACUGAGAUACGGCCCAGACUCCUACGGGAGGCAGCAGUGGGGAAUAUUGCACAAUGGGCGGAAGCCUGAUGCAGCAACGCCGCGUGCGGGAUGACGGCCUUCGGGUUGUAAACCGCUUUCGCCUGUGACGAAGCGUGAGUGGCGGUAAUGGGUAAAGAAGCACCGGCUAACUACGUG